AUUGAACGCUGGCGGCAGGCCUAACACAUGCAAGUCGAGCGAGCGGCGGACGGGUGCGUAAUGUAUGGGGAAUGCGCGAUAGCGGGGGAUAAGUACUGGAAACGGUGGCUAAUACCGCAUACAGUCGGAUAACCCAUAGGGGAUUAGCUAGUAGGUAAGGUCAUGGCCUACCUAGGCGACGAUCCCUAGCUGGUCUGAGAGGCUGAUCAGCCACACUGGGACUGAGACACGGCCCAGACUCCUACGGAGGCAGCAGUGGGGAAUAUUGGACAAUGGGCGCAAGCCUGAUGCAGCCAUGCCGCGUGUAUGAAGAAGGCCCUAGGGUUGUAAAGUACUGUCAGUCGGGAGGCGUUACCGACAGAAGAAGCACCGGCUAACUCCGUGCCAGCCGCCGCGGUAAUUC
rnacentral:rRNA from 1 species